rnacentral:RNase_P_RNA from 1 species
CGGCGCGGAUCCGCUUCAUCGCCGCCUGCUUCGGCAGGGGGAGGAAAGUCCGGGCAACGCAGAGCGCCACGCAAGCUAACGGCUUGAUGUCCGUGAGGGCAUAGACAAUGUAACAGAGAAUGACCGCCCGUAAGGGUAAGGGUGAAAAGGUGGGGUAAGAGCCCACCGCGAAGGUAGUGAUACGCUUCGGUCCGUACAUCUGGUGGGUUGCAAGACCAUGUACACCGGCAGUCAAGGGUUGCUCGCCCGAUGCCGGGGGGUAGGUUGCUGGAGGCGGCGGGCGACCGUCGUCGUAGAUAAAUGAUGGAGGCUCCGGGCGACCGGAGUACAGAACCCGGCUUACAGGGUCCGCCGGCAU